AAAGGGGCUACAAGGGAUCCAUGGAAAGAGCAUUCCCAGAAGGGGGGCCAGGGCAGUGCGCACAGUGAGGAGAGCAGGUGUGUGCGAGGUUGAAACAAAACGUUCAAAGCCCCCUCGGAAGCCCAUCCACAGGUGUGUGACUGUGAACCGCAUCGUAAUCUCCUAGAAAGCAAGAACAUCAGGCUUACAUUUUCCACUUGCCUCUCAGGGCUCAGAGCUCUGUAGCAUAUACAUUGAGGAAACUGGGCCCUGAGACAUUAACUUGCCCAAAAGAUCACAGUGGGCAACAUUCUAGAGCACAAUGGAAGCCGACAGCAAUGUCAGUGAAGACUGAAAACAGAACGUGGAGAGAGAUGUAGCUUACUAGAGCCCUGUGGCUUCAAUCCCCACCAGGAAUGUCGUUUAAGAGGAAGAGAAGCAGCCUCGGAGGGCGGACGGGGCUGGGGAAUCCCUGGCCUCCCUCCUUUCCUUCUGGCUGAUCUUCUGCAGGAGACCUCACAAAAGGGAGCUGAGGGGCCAGGAAGCCUGUGGAUGCCCUGAAGAAGAAUGAGUAGAUCUGAAAGGGCAGUAGAACAGAACCAGAAUCCAGUGCAAAGGCCCUGGGGCAGGAGUUCGCAUGAGAAGUGGGGAGAAGGAACCAGCCUAUGAUCCAGGAACGCAGUGAACAAGAUUUGGGAAGUUGACAGAGAAUAUGAGGCCUCCUCUCCAAACAGAAACUCCAGGACGCUUGGUUGAUUCACUGACACAUGCACAGUGCUGAGCAUAUUACCAGACACCAGAGUCUGUGUUCCAGAAAUGGAAGAAUAGGUGAGUAAUGAAAGUCUAAGUAAGCAAAUUCUUUGCAAAUGGGGAAAAGAUUGAAUGUAUAGGACUGCAUAUAUCAGAAGCCCCCUGGAAUCUCUGCAUCCAGAAGAUUGCAGUCACCUUCGAAGCACUCACCACCAGAGUCUACUCGCACACUCUCCUGUGGCAGCCGUUCACCUCGGCCCUUUUCCUAGGGAUUUGCCUUCGAGUCCCAGAAUGGGCCUCAGGGUCUUUGCAUUCGCCUUUCUAUGAGUCUGAAACACCACCCACCCCCUCACCUGUGGGCAGGCAAAGCACCUCCUGUGUUCAUGUCAUCUCCUGUACCAAGCCCUUCCUGAUGACCAACUUGGAGCCGGGUGCCCUCUAGCCAUGCCUCCAUGGCCGCCUAUGAUAAUGUCCCCCAUAUCACUUAUCAUUCUGCUCAUGAAUUUGGCUUCAUUCAUCUUGCAACAACCCCAGAGUAUUAAGCCACUCGACGGUGGAAGCUGGUGCUUUUACCUCCGCACCUCUCAUGCCCGACAGAGUCCACGGCAGAAGGCUGGCUCUCAGAUUUUAGCUGCAUUCCUGAAUGAAGGAAUCAAUAAAAGCCACACAGCAUUAAGUGGCAGACUCUAGUAAUUUAAUUCCUAGUCCCGGGCUCUUUGAUAUAAAAUAACUCUUCUAUUUUUAAUACACCCCACAUUCCUGAAGAUGACACUACUGCAAAAUUAAAGAAAUGUGAUGAACAGCUUACAACCUGCAACACACUCGGCAGCUCAAAAUGACAACAUUAAUUUAAUGAACUUAAACACUGGUGAACUUUUUAACACAUCCAGAGUUAUUUACACUGGGAAAUGCAUACUUAAGAUUGCCUGCCAAAGAGACUCAAAUAGAGAUGACACAUAUAUCUUUCACAUGUUAAUUUGCAUUUUAAACUUUGAGCUUUGAUACAGGUUGGCUUUUCUCUUUUGGAACGAAGAAAUCAAGAGACUAAUUUUUUACCCAUCCAUCCAUCUAUCCAUCUAUCCAUCCAUCCAGCCACAUCUUUCCUAAGUGACAGGACAUAUCACACACCAACCGUGUGCAAAGCACUCUACCUAAAGAUCAGCGCUAACAGAGGAAUAAGCAGAGGCCUCCAGGAGCAAAGAGUGAAAAGUCUGGCAAGGCUUCAAGUACGGGGGAAGUGGGUGGAGCUUUCACCGUAGAAUCUUUCCUAGAGAAAAAGCAAAGAGUGGGGCAACAAUAAAGGCAUUAAAAAUAACUGUCAAGUUG
rnacentral:antisense_RNA from 1 species